UACGUAGGUGGCAAGCGUUGUCCGGAUUUAUUGGGCGUAAAGCGCGCGCAGGUGGUUCGUUGCGUCCGAGGUGAAAUCUCCCGGCUCAACUGGGAGGGGUCUUCGGAUACGGGCGGACUAGAGGAGAGCAGAGGUAGGCGGAAUGCUGGGUGUAGUGGUGAAAUGCGUAGAUAUCCAGAGGAACACCAGUGGCGAAGGCGGCUCACUGGGCUCCACCUGACGCUGAGGCGCGAAAGCGUGGGGAGCGAACCGG
rnacentral:rRNA from 1 species